rnacentral:ncRNA from 1 species
GAGCCAUCAAUAAGAUACUACUCUAGAAGAGCUAGAAUUCUGACCUUGUGUUAGAACCUACGGGCCAAGGGACAGUCUCAGGUAGAUAGUUUCUAUGGGGCUUAGGCCUCCCAAAAGGUAACAGAGGCGUGCAAAGGUUUCCUCGGGCCGAACGGAGAUUGGCCCUCGAGUCAAAGGCAAAAGGGAGCUUGACUGUAAGACCCACCCGUCGAGCAGAGACGAAAGUCGGCCUUACUGAUUCGACGGCGCCGAGUGGAAGGGUCGUCGCUCAACGGAUAAAAGUUACUUUAGGGAUAACAGGCUGAUCUUCCCCAAGAUUUCACAUCUACGGGAAGGUUUGGCACCUCGAUGUCGGCUUUUUGCCUCAUGAGGCUGUAGUAUGUUCCAAGGGUUGGGCUGUUCGCCCAUUAAAGCGGUAUGUGAGCUAGGUUCAAAACGUUAUGAGACAGUUCGGUCCAUAUCCGGUAUAGGCAUUAGAGCAUUGAGAGGAGCAGAAUGAGAAAGAAAAAUAUAUCGUGAUGUAAGUCCAUUAUUCCUUGCAUCAUAGGGCUUGCUGCGUCUUGAGAUCCUAAUUGCCAUAGUUUUGCUGCAUCACAAGAAGUUAAUUUAAUUGUGUGUUAGGAUUAAAUUAGAAAUUUAUUUUAGAAUAAGGAUUUAAAAUAUAAUUUUAUUAAUAUGGAGUUUUAAUGAAAAUU